rnacentral:rRNA from 1 species
GAUGAACGCUGGCGGCGUGCCUAAUACAUGCAAGUCGAGCGAACAGACGAGGAGCUUGCUCCUCUGACGUUAGCGGCGGACGGGUGAGUAACACGUGGAUAACCUACCUAUAAGACUGGGAUAACUUCGGGAAACCGGAGCUAAUACCGGAUAUAUAUUGAAUCGCAUGGUUCAAUAGUGAAAGACGGUUUUGCUGUCACGUAUACAUGGAUUCGCGCCGCAUUGGUUAGGUGGUAAGGUAACGGGUUUCCAAGGCAACGAUGCGUAGCCGACGUGAGCGGGUGGUCGCCCACACUGGAUCGGAGACACGGUCCAGACUCCUACGGGAGGCAGCAGUAGGGAAUCUGCCGCAAAGGUCGAAAGCUUGACGGAGCAACGCCGCGUGAGUGAUGAAGGUCUUCGGAUCGUAAAACUCUGUUAUUAGGGAAGAACAAAUGUGUAAGUAACUAUGCACGUCUUGACGGUACCUAAUCAGAAAGCCACGGCUAACUACGUG